AGGGAGGGAGAGGGACCGAGGAGGGGAGAUAUCCCUCCGCAGAGCUGGGUCUGGCCGCGGGCGGGGAAGCAGGAAGUAAGGUGUCCAGCGCCGCGACCGGCUGGUCGUCCGCCUCGGCCCCCGCCCGCGUCCCCUUUCCCCCGGGGCGCAGCGCUACGGCGGGCGCGGGCCGCCCGGCGCAUUGUUCGCAGCCUUCGCGGCGGUGCGCUGCUGACUUUAUUUGUGCGCUUUGCGUGUGCGUGAGGUUGCACCUUUUGUAGGCUGGCGAGUCUCUGGACGAGGAUGGGACGGGGGACACGGGCCCAGUUGCGGCCCUGCGCGAGCGGGACCUGUCAGCCCUGAGGUGCAGCGGACCCUCCGGCAUGGCCGGAAAAUCGAGGCCGGGGAGAAGGCAGCGUGGCCGGGAAGCUGCCGCCUUAAACCCGGACCAGUGCAGGAUUGCUUCCUGCGUAGCCGUCCCGGUUAUUGUAACACGCUUUGCAAGCUAACGACUGGGGUUGAAUGCAUUCACAUGGUUCCAAAUUCAAAUAAACAGCAAGAAGUCUCCCUCCCACCCUGUCUGCCACCCACUUGGUUUUCCUUCUCUGGAGGCAACCUGGGUUAGUGGUCAGAAGAUGCAUUUAACUGUUUUCCAGCUGAGGCCUUGUGAGAACUCCUCGGACACCAAUUUAAAUCUUUAUGUCCAGAACUCCUUUCUCCAAUCCAGAGAUGAGGUUCCACCAUUCUUGCCCAGACUGGUUUCGAACUCCUGGACUCAAGCGAUUUGCCUGCCUCGGCCUCAAAAAGUGCUGGGAUUACAUGCAUGAGCCACCACACCCGGACCCUCUCUCUUAAAUAGUGGCCCUUUUGCCUCUCUGCAACACAGGAAAAAUUCUGUUAGCCUGCAUCAGAAGGAGUGGCAUGGAGGCUUUGGAGUUAAGAAGAUUUAAUUCAAAUUAUGUGUCCGGUGCCUGCCAGCAAUGAGACCUUGGUAAGGUUUCUUAACCUCUCUGAGCUGGGACCAUACCUUCUGCGUUGGUUUAAUAUAAAGGUUAAAUGCAUGUAAAUAAAUGACUUCUAAAAUAAAUAACAUUCUAAAAUGUUAGUAACAACUAAAUACAAUAUUUAGAUCUUGUGAGGAUUUGAUUUGAAUAAAUAAGAUUUUUUUAAAAGACAUUUUUGAGACAAAAUGUAGACUAUCUGAUAUUAAGAAAUUAAUCACUUUUUCAGAUAUGAUAAUGGCAUUGCAGUUUUUUUUAAGUUCUUAUCUAUUACAGAUACAUAAUGAGGCAUUUUGAGUGAAAAUAUAUCUAGGAUUUGCUUUCCAAUACUCCAUCCCCUCCCCAUCAAAACACUAAAUAAAUGAAACAAGAUUAGUGAAAUACGGAAAAUUGUUGAAGUUAUUCAUUAUUCCAUUUCCCAUAUGGAACUUUCCAUACUAGUUUCCCUACUGCUGUUGAAUAUUUGACAUGUUUCAAAUACAUUUGAAAUAAAUUUAUUGUCUGAGAUGAUCAGGUUGAAAAAUAAUAAAAUGAAAUAAAUUUAAAAGUAAAAUAAACAUAACCCUUUUAAGCAUUAAAAUUAAAAAUUAUGAGGCUUGUUGAAUUAUUACUGUUAUAAAUAAUUACAUACAUGUAUUUUUGAAACAGUCUUGCUCUUUCACCCAGGCUGCAGUGCAGUGGCAUAAUCACAGUUCACUGCGGCCUCAACCUCCCAGGCUCAGGUGAUCCUUGCACGUCUGCCUCCCAAGUAGCUGGGACUGCAGGUGUGCACCACCAUGCCUGGCUAAAUUUUUCUCUUUUGUAGAGACGGGUUUUGCGAUUUUGCCCACACUGGUCUUAAAGUCCUGGG
rnacentral:lncRNA from 10 species